rnacentral:lncRNA from 1 species
CUUUCAAACUGAAAGAAUUUAUAAUCUAAUUUAUUAAUAUUCUCUGGAAAAGACAAAGAUACAACAGUAUGCCUGUUUAGAAAGUAUUUCAUAACUCACUCAGGGGAAAAACCUUACCUCAUUUCGGGAAAAAAUUGGGAUUUUGCCCUGUCCUUAUGUGCUAUUUUCCGUAGUAUUUUUCCAGUAGUACUUCUCCAAAUCAAGCUAGGGACAGUUCAGCUUCAAGUUUUAUUGACAUUUUUUGUGGGCAUGAAAUGCUUUUUUUAAUACCUUACUUUAACUCAUUUUGUGUAUUUCUAUGGGAUUCCUAUUUCUUUUCUGAAGAAAGGAGAAAAAGUCAUUAACUUAGAGAAGUUCAGACUUUUCAGAAGGUCAUGAAUCUGACAAGCCAGAAGCAAUGGAUCCUUCUCCAUCUGCCUUUUAUUUCCAGCACAUUUAUACAACCUUCAAGUCUUUGUUUUUCAAGUAAGGCUAAUGUUUAGAUUACUUCCUUAUUAAUUAUCCUCGUAAUGUCUGUAGGAUUUCUGUUUAAGUUUCAUCUUUCAUUCUUUACACUGGUAAGUUGUCUUUGCUCUUUUUUUCUUGAUUAUUUUGACUGUUGGUUUCAUUGAUUUUCUCUACUGUAUUUUCUGUUUACACAUUUCUUUGACUUGUACUUUUUUCUUUAUUAUUUCCUUCCUUCUGCUUGCCUGCAGAUCUCAGGGAGAGCUACCCAUCCUGGAGUCAAUUGAUGGUUAUCAGGAAGGUGUUUUCAGCUAUUUUCAAAAUACCUUGCAUCUAUGGAACGUGUGUAUAUUUUUGGGUAAUGGCUACUGGACAUCUCCUUGCUUCCUGGUUAUGCCAGGAGUGCCUUUUUCCCUUCAGUACGAUUCCUUCAAACAUUUUGAUGCUUAGGAAGCUAAAUGAGAGAUGGAUUCCUGGGUCAAAGGCAUAUGAGCGUGUUUCCUCACUGGAGAAGCUGUUCAGGAAGGGCUGCAGGUAAAUGAAUUUCUCUUUCCGAACAAAUGUCAAUUCCAGACUAGCAUUGUGUGUUGAAAUGCUGCCCUGGGGAGAGAAGUGGAAGAAAGGAAUGUUAAAGAGGCUUCUUAGCUAAUGGCCUUAUGUGAGAAAUAGCAUACCAUUUCUCAAUCAAUGUCAUUUCCAAGUCGUGCAAGGAGAUUAUGUAUGGGGAGUGGUUAUCUGGCAAUUCAUACAUCAUUUGUAUCCACAUCUGCCCCCUGGGUUUGGUCAGAUGGAUUUAAUUUUAAAAAUAUCACUUUCACCUGCUCCUCUGCAGUUCGAUUGGCCUCCCACACUGAGGUUUUAUUUGUACUCAUGGAAUUACUGCAUUUGCUUCCUUAAAGCAGGGUAGAGGGGGAUAUUUGAACACAUAUCAUGGGACAUAAGGAAAUCAUAAGAAUUAGAGAUGGAAAGAAAAAUGAAAUUGAUCAUCUACCUGAAAAAAUUGGACUUCCAAUAUACUCUCAUCAAAAGGGGACACAGAAACCUAUCACUUCUAAAGGGCUUCCAGGUCAACUAAAUAUUCUUGAUGUUUAGCUCAUUAAAUAAAUGAAGUAUAACCACUUCA